UUCCGGUUGAUCCCGCCGGACCCCACUGCUAUCGAGAUGGGACUAAGGUAUGCUAGUCGAACGACCAGAACUAUGUCUGGGAGUGGCACACUGCUCAGUAACACGUAGCUAACCUACCCUUAGGACGUGGAUACCCCCGAGAAAUUGGGGUUAAUCCGCGAUAGAUGUAAUGUCCUGGAAUGGUAUUACGUCUAAAGGUAUUUCAUACAUGUUUGAAAUAUGCCUAAGGAUGGGGCUGCGGCCGAUCAGGCUGUUGGUGAGGUAAUGGCUCACCAAACCUUUGACCGGUACGGGCCAUGAGAGUGGUAGCCCGGAGAUGGACACUGAGACAAGGGUCCAGGCCCUAAGGGGCGCAGCAACCGCGAAACCUCCACAAUGCACUCACGUGCGAUGGGGCUAUCUCGAGUGCCACCUGAUGAAGGUGGCUUUUCCUUGGUCUUCAAAGCCUUGGGAAUAAGAGGGGGGCAAGACUGGUGUCAGCCGCCGCGGUAACACCAGCCCCUCGAGUGGUGGGGAUGAUUAUUUG
rnacentral:rRNA from 1 species